rnacentral:ncRNA from 2 species
GUUGCUUCUUAUGGUGAACUCCCUGUAAAUUUUGUUGGGUUGGGGAUGUUCAAGUUUCCGAAGCAUAGAUCAAAUUGCCAGUAUUAAACAGCACCAUUUUUGCAGACUA